AAGACAUGCAAGUCGAGCGAACGGACGAGAAGCUUGCUUCUCUGAUGUUAGCGGCGGACGGGUGAGUAACACGUCGAUAACCUACCUAUAAGACUGGGAUAACUUCGGGAAACCGGAGCUAAUACCGGAUAAUAUUUUGAACCGCAUGGAUCAAAAGUGAAAGACGGUCUUGCUGUCACUUAUAGAUGGAUCCGCGCUGCAUUAGCUAGUUGGUAAGGAAACGGCUUACCAAGGCAACGAUGCAUAGCCGACCUGAGAGGGUGAUCGGCCACAUGGGAACUGAGACACGGUCCAGACUCCUACGGGAGGCAGCAGUAGGGAAUCCUCCGCAAUGGGCGAAAGCCUGACGGACCAACGCCGCGUGAGUGAUGAAGGUCUUCGGAUCGCAAAACUCUGUUAUUAGGGAAGAACAUAUGAGUAAGUAACUGCGCACAUCUUGACGGUACCUAAUCAGAAAGCCACGGCUAACUACGUGCCAGCAGCCGCGGUAAUACGUAGGCGGCAAGCGUAACCCGGAAAUAUUGGGCGUAAAGCGCGCGUAGGCGGUUUUUUAAGUCUGAUGUGAAAGCCCACGGCUCAACCGUGGAGGGUCAUUGGAAACUGGAAAACUUGAGUGCAGAAGAGGAAAGUGGAAUUCCAUGUGUAGCGGUGAAAUGCGCAGAGACAUGGAGGAACACCAGUGGCGAAGGCGACUUUCUGGUCUGUAACUGACGCUGAUGUGCGAAAGCGUGGGGAUCAAACAGGAUUAGAUACCCUGGUAGUCCACGCCGUAAACGAUGAGUGCUAAGUGUUAGAGGGUUUCCGCCCCUUAGUGCUGCAGCUAACGCAUUAAGCACUCCGCCUGGGGAGUACGACCGCAAGGUUGAAACUCAAAGGAAUUGACGGGGACCCGCACAAGCGGUGGAGCAUGUGGUUUAAUUCGAAGCAACGCGAAGAACCUUACCAAAUCUUGACAUCCUUUGACAACUCUAGAGAUAGAGCCUUCCCCUUCGGGGGACAAAGUGACAGGUGGUGCAUGGUUGUCGUCAGCUCGUGUCGUGAGAUGUUGGGUUAAGUCCCGCAACGAGCGCAACCCUUAAGCUUAGUUGCCAUCAUUAAGUUGGGCACUCUAAGUUGACUGCCGGUGACAAACCGGAGGAAGGUGGGGAUGACGUCAAAUCAUCAUGCCCCUUAUGAUUUGGGCUACACACGUGCUACAAUGGACAAUACAAAGGGCAGCGAAACCGCGAGGUCAAGCAAAUCCCAUAAAGUUGUUCUCAGUUCGGAUUGUAGUCUGCAACUCGACUACAUGAAGCUGGAAUCGCUAGUAAUCGUAGAUCAGCAUGCUACGGUGAAUACGUUCCCGGGUCU
rnacentral:rRNA from 1 species